GCAGCUAUUUUCUACUACUGCAACUGAAUACCCCCCACCCCAAACACUGCCAGAAGCAAGGUAUGAGGAGUAGCGUUAGAAGAGACUUAUAACUGUAGGUAUAUGGCUGCUGAUCUCCUCUGACAGCGGUGCGCAUUACAAGUAACUCAUUGAAGUCAGUGGGUGCAACCCAUACAUCAAGUCUGUAACAUCCUGGCUGAAUGCACAAAACACCUGAAGCUGGAAUGUUGUAAUGAUUUUUAACAUUUUCCAGAAAAUCCAUUUCUGAUCUUUGGGAAUAUGAAAUCUGGUGCAGACAGGAUUUGAAUUCAGCUGGCUUCCCUUCACUUACGAGGCUCUCCAUCAUUCCACUCUUACUGAUGCUGUUGACCUAAGUUCCUUCUGUGCUUGUCUCCUCUCUACCAAAGCGCAGAAUUUGACCUGUCUCCAAUCACAGCUCUAUGACUCUUCUCUGCUCCAUGGGAUGCUGCCUCCAGUGCUGUCUGGUGAUGGAAAUCCUACCUGUAUGCAGCGCUGGGCCCCAGCUCUUCCUGAAGGAAAGUAUCGUCUGAUCUGAAAUGAGCUGUAAACACCUGGAAAUUCAAGCAACAUCAGCAAAGCACGGUGCUGUCUUCAUGCUCAAUAGAAUAGAAGAGAAGCUCACUGAAGAUUGCGUCGACUGGACCACAACAGCUCCAGGACAUUUAAGUUCGAGACGUGGUCAAGUGCUUUGUCAGCACCCCUACAUACUGUGAGCUGUAACAUGGCCUGGCUGGCAGUUGUGCUGCUUGAGAGCUUGCUAUGUGGAAGAAACAUCGCCGUUCCGUGUGGCCUGGAUGUCAUGGUCAUGCUAAUUAGUCCACAGCCAGUGCUUCUUCCCAGUCCCAUGACUGUUGCUGUUUCAUUCAGAGGUGUGACAAAAGGCAUUAGUCACAACUGGAGACUGGACUAAUUUGCUGAUGUUGUAGAGGGAAUUCUGUCUCCUGGAGACCUGGCUGAUGUGAUCAGAACUCACAAAUGGUAUUGUACCAAAGAUUCAUUCAGG